rnacentral:lncRNA from 1 species
UCACUGCAACCUCCGCCUCCCAGGUUCAAGUGCUUCUCCUGCCUCAGCCUCACGAGUAGCUGGGAUUACAGGUUUCAGGCACAGAACUGUAUAUCCAAUAAUAGUGAAAUGGAUCCCACUAAUUAUGACAGAAAUGAUGAUACAUUUAAAUGACUUGGAUGUUUUAUAGGUUGGCAAUCAUCAUGAGCCCCUGUUCUCAUUCUGCAAAUGGUGAGGCUCUCUAUUGUCCUGACCCCACAGUUCCUGUCCCAUGACCAGGGCCAGCUCACCAAGCAGCUGCAGCAGCACGUAAAGUCAGUGACAUGCCCAUGCGAGUACCUGAGGAAGAUGAUCCUACACCUGCCACCUCCGAUGGAUCCACUGCCUCUGUGCCUGCCUGUACUGCUGAUGCUCCAGUGGAUAACUCAGCAUCCCAGCCUAGGCCAAUGCCACUGAAGAUGGACCUGCCCCUGGGGACCGAGGAGUCCUACCACUCAGCUGUCCCCAGGAGUGCCAGACCCUCAUUCUUAUCCAGGACCUAGAGCCCUACCCCUGGCCUUCCUCAUCAGCCGUAAAUGAUGAUUUACUGCUGUUACCAUCAUCACUGCCUUCAGUGACCAAGGGCUUCCAAGGUGCCAGCUCUGGAACGAAGGAUGCCCUUGGGGUGAUGACACUCAGGUACAUGGGUGCUCAACAGAUUGCUUCCUUCUAUCUCAGACGGUCUUUGCAUGCAUGCAGCCGUUGGCACUCCAUUGUAUGGAAGGAAACCAGCCCAGGGUCACACAGCUGGUCAGCAGCAACAUAGCUGGUCUCAAAUCUAAGGUGCCUGGCCAUGCCUCCAUGAGGGACUGCCUGCAAGGGAGGUUGAUCCUGGCUUUGGGAGGGCCUUUCCUGGGCUGCACGAAUAACCUCCAUUGUUCGAGACCCUAAACUCUGCUCCAUCUUCCUUUCCCUGUCUCUGCUUGGCUAUGAUCACGGCGACUCUAGCAGCG